ensembl:lncRNA
AACUCCGAAAUAUGUUUUAUUUUACAAGCAAAGUCAGUAUUCCUUCGUGCCUGCUUCACUGCGAUGCCCUUUAAUUUCUAUUCAAAGAGCUAUGGAGGAAUGUUGUUUAAAUCUCAUUAAUUUCCUUCAGUGGUCGUUUUUUUCUUUAAUUGUCCUGGCUACAACUUUUAUCUUAUUACGUCCUUGUGAUUUUUUUUUUUUAAGAUACUGUAGUGAAACUUAGGGUCCAUGAACCUACCUAUAGAAUCCUUUUAAUCGCUUUCUUUGAACAGUGUAACUAUAAACAUGACUCCAUGGGAAUAAUUUACUUGCAUCUCUUUGGAACAUUUCAAGAGGUGCUGUAUAAAUUCACUAAUAAGAAACAUCUAUUCAUUCAUAGUCUCGCUUGUGGAUUUGAAUUAUAUUAAACCUGAUGUGAUACCUUUUUAUUAUCACUUAAGACUGUUGAACAAGAAUUUAGAGGAAAUGGCAGGCAUUGAAUGUCCCGAGUACUGGAGUUGGCGGAUAAUUUAAACCCUGUGGGAGGCUGGAUUCACUCAUAACCAAAGCCAUUUUAUGAGGAAGAAGGUAAAUAUGGGUCGGUGAACGCUGGUUGACUGCUUAGUAUUGAUACCGAGUGGAAAAGCAAAACAAGUUUUUGACAUGCAGGGUUAUUUUAUGAGCUAGAACCCUGGCUUCUUUAGACAUCCAUGCAAAUGCAGCUCCUGGGAAAUGGAAACGUGGAGAAAAAAUAACGGAAAACUUGAGAACUAUUAAUCAGUGCGCUCUUCUGCUUUAUUUUCGGGAAUCUGGGGCAGGGUGGAGGGGGGAUUCUACUGUUUCGGUGUUUCUAUGGGCGGGCGUAAGGGUGGAUAGCUGCACACAAACACGUGUGCAAGGAUUAUUGCAAACCAUGCCCAAGCCAUGUCAGUGAAGUUUCUCUGAAGCUCCUUUUCUUCUCUUAAAGGUGGAUACAGUUUAACAUAUUGGUUGCACAUGAUACAAUCCCUACAACAAAGGUAUUUCAGCUGGGCAUUAAGUACCGAGAAAUGAAUGAUAGCAGGGACGCUCUCUGAGCUAAAAUCAGUUUUAUUUAUUUCGAGACUCUUUCCUUGCAGAAUUUCUACCUGUGCCCGUAAUACUGACUGGUUAUUUUCAUGUCUCCUUUUUCAUGUUGCACAUAGAACUGCCUCAUCUGUGUUACAUUUUAAGACGGAGAUACUGAAACAACAGACUGUGUCAAGUUUGAGUUGGGGGGUGAGAAAGAGAAACAAGGAGCAGGUCCCGGCAGACGCUUGGCGGUUUGUACGUUCGGAGGCUGGGGAGCCCCCUGGUUCAGAGGUCCACACAUGAAGUCACCCUGAAGGACUCCGUUUUGUGGAAACGGAGUAACACCUUUUGUUUAAAAAUGAUGCUUUGGGGAGGAAGCUGAGACCUUUCUCCCGGCUGAAGCGGCAGGUGGUAGGACAUAGAGCAUCAUUAAGGCAUCCCGGGUGGUUUAGUCGAUUCUGUAUGACGAAUUGGCCUUUUAUUGCCUCCUAAGAAUUGGGGAUACAGAACCAGCUAUUAGAGACGUUUCUGGGUCUCACCAGGAGCAGAGGACACCUUCUAAAAAUUAGUCUCUUUUGUUAACAUUGUGAAUUAAAAUUAAUUCACAAUUAAUUUUAAUUCACAAUUAAUUAUAAUUGCGCGCAUGAGUCUAGAUCUAUUUGGUUGCUGUAUCUCAGUUCUGUGCUUUAUUAGCUUCUUAAUAUGAUUUGCAUCUGUCUGCAAAUUGAUGUGCUACUUAACCUUGAAACUUAUUAGAAGAACAUGUAGCUUUCUAUUUAUAGAUCUAAUGAGGUGAUAAGAUAUCCAGAAGAGCAAACCAAAUUGCAGACGCACAGGCAUCAAGAAUUGAAGCCCACCCCCGCC